rnacentral:rRNA from 1 species
GUCUCCGUAGGUGACCUGCGGAGGGACAUUACACAAAUAUGAAGGCGGGCUGGAACCUCUCGGGGUUACAGCCUUGCUGAAUUAUUCACCCUUGUCUUUUGCGUACUUCUUGUUUCCUUGGUGGGUUCGCCCACCACUAGGACAAACAUAAACCUUUUGUAAUUGCAAUCAGCGUCAGUAACAAAUUAAUAAUUACAACUUUCAACAACGGAUCUCUUGGUUCUGGCAUCGAUGAAGAACGCAGCGAAAUGCGAUAAGUAGUGUGAAUUGCAGAAUUCAGUGAAUCAUCGAAUCUUUGAACGCACAUUGCGCCCUUUGGUAUUCCAAAGGGCAUGCCUGUUCGAGCGUCAUUUGUACCCUCAAGCUUUGCUUGGUGUUGGGCGUCUUGUCUCUAGCUUUGCUGGAGACUCGCCUUAAAGUAAUUGGCAGCCGGCCUACUGGUUUCGGAGCGCAGCACAAGUCGCACUCUCUAUCAGCAAAGGUCUAGCAUCCAUUAAGCCUUUUUUUCAACUUUUGACCUCGGAUCAGGUAGGGAUACCCGCUGAACUUAA